rnacentral:rRNA from 1 species
UACGGAGGGGGCUAGCGUUGUUCGGAAUUACUGGGCGUAAAGCGCACGUAGGCGGACUGUUAAGUCGGGGGUGAAAUCCUGGGGCUCAACCUCAGAAUUGCCUCCGAUACUGGCAGUCUCGAGUGCGGGAGAGGUGAGUGGAAUUCCCAGUGUAGAGGUGGAAUUCGUAGAUAUUGGGAAGAACACCAGUGGCGAAGGCGGCUCACUGGCCCGUAACUGACGCUGAGGUGCGAAAGCGUGGGGAGCAAACAGG